UAUAAAUAUUGAUUUUGUUAUCAGUAAAUUAAAAGCUAACUAAAUAUUACUAGUAUGUUAUAUACAUAUAUAUAUUCAUGGAUCUACAAUCUGUCGAUACCUGUAACUUGGCAUUGCACAAGGUUAUGUUUUUCUCUGGCUGUUUAUGACGUCUUUAUACUAAAUCCAUUGGAUGUUGGAUGUGUACGGAUUGAUUGUUUAGUCUUAGAUGCAUGAUUUUUUUAUUAGUUGUUAGUGGCUUUGAACUAGCUGUCAGAUAACUGCGAGUACUCUCAGAUCUGUUCAUUAAGUCUUUUUGUGUCGGGAUGUAUAAGUACCCGGCCACGUCUACUUGUAUUUUUGUCCAUCUGAUGAGUUAAGCCUUUUUCAACUGAUUUUUAUAGUUCGUUCUUAUGUUGUACUGUUAUACCACUGUCCCAGGUUAGGGGGAGGGUUGGGAUCCCGCUAACAUGUUUAACCCCGCCACAUUAUUUAUGUAUGUGCCUGUCCCAAGUCAGGAGCCUGUAAUUCAGUGGUUGUCGUUUGUUUAUGUGUUACAUAUUUGUUUUUCGUUCAUUUUUUUACAUAAAUAAGGCCGUUAGUUUUCUCGUUUGAAUUGUUUUACAUUGUCUUAUCGGGGCCUAUUAUAGCUGACUAUGCGGUAUGGGCUUUGCUCAUUGUUGAAGGCCGUACGAUGACCUAUAGUUGUUAAUGUCUGUGUCAUUUUGGUCUUUUGUGGAUAGUUGUCUCAUUGACAAUCAUACCACAUCUUCUUUU
rnacentral:lncRNA from 1 species